UACGGGGGGAGCAAGCGUUGUUCGGAUUUACUGGGCGUAAAGGGCGCGUAGGCGGCCACCGCAAGUCGGCUGUGAAAUCUCCGGGCUUAACCCGGAAAGGUCAAUCGAUACUGCGGGGCUAGAGUGCAGAAGGGGCAACUGGAAUUCUCGGUGUAGCGGUGAAAUGCGUAGAUAUCGAGAGGAACACCUGCGGCGAAGGCGGUCUGCUGGGCCGUUGCUGACGCUGAGGCGCGACAGCGUGGGGAGCAAACAGG
rnacentral:rRNA from 1 species